rnacentral:rRNA from 1 species
UACGUAGGGUGCGAGCGUUAAUCGGAAUUACUGGGCGUAAAGCGGGCGCAGACGGUUUGUUAAGCAGGAUGUGAAAUCCCCGGGCUCAACCCGGGAACUGCGUUCUGAACUGGCAGGCUAGAGUGUGUCAGAGGGGGGUAGAAUUCCACGUGUAGCAGUGAAAUGCGUAGAGAUGUGGAGGAAUACCGAUGGCGAAGGCAGCCCCCUGGGAUAGCACUGACGUUCAUGCCCGAAAGCGUGGGUAGCAAACAGG